UGGGGAAUUUUGGACAAUGGGCGCAAGCCUGAUCCAGCCAUGCCGCGUGCGGGAAGAAGGCCUUCGGGUUGUAAACCGCUUUUGUCAGGGAAGAAAUCUUCUGAGUUAAUACCUCGGGAGGAUGACGGUACCUGAAGAAUAAGCACCGGCUAACUACGUGCCAGCAGCCGCGGUAAUACGUAGGGUGCAAGCGUUAAUCGGAGUUACUGGGCGUAAAGCGUGCGCAGGCGGUUUUGUAAGACAGAGGUGAAAUCCCCGGGCUCAACCUGGGAACUGCCUUUGUGACUGCAAGGCUUGAGUGCGGCAGAGGGGGAUGGAAUUCCGCGUGUAGCAGUGAAAUGCGUAGAUAUGCGGAGGAACACCGAUGGCGAAGGCAAUCCCCUGGGCCUGCACUGACGCUCAUGCACGAAAGCGUGGGGAGCAAACAGGAUUAGAUACCCUGGUAGUCCACGCCCUAAACGAUGUCAACUGGUUGUUGGGAAGGUUCCUUCUCAGUAACGUAGCUAACGCGUGAAGUUGACCGCCUGGGGAGUACGGCCGCAAGGUUGAAACUUAAAGGAAUUGAC
rnacentral:rRNA from 1 species